UACGAAGGAUCCAAGCGUUGUCCGGAUUUACUGGGUUUAAAGGGUGCGUAGGCGGAGAUAUAAGUCAGUGGUGAAAGCCUAUAGCUUAACUAUAGAAUAGCCAUUGAAACUGCAUCUCUCGAGUAUGGUUGAGGUUACUGGAAUGUUGCAUGUAGCGGUGAAAUGCUUAGAUAUGCAACAGAACACCAAUUGCGAAGGCAGGUAACUAAGCCAUAACUGACGCUGAGGCACGAAAGCGUGGGGAGCAAACAGG
rnacentral:rRNA from 1 species